rnacentral:lncRNA from 1 species
UGAGAAGCAGGAGCAACCUUUAGCUACAGGAAGCUGAGGAGCUGGAGCUGAGGCAGCAGAGCCGGAGGAGACAGAAAUGUGGAGAUGCAUUUGAAGGGGAGCCCACAUUUCUUUGCCCUUGUUGAAGCGAGGCGGUCCAGUCGUGUAACACCGAGACCCCCUCUGCAACCAGCCCGCAGACCCGCUCCUUCAACCUCGUGGGAAUUCAGGAAGCGGCACACGGCUCUGCGAGGAAGCCUUGAUCUUUGUCACUGGAAGGUGUCACACAGGGAGCCUUCAGGAGCGGCCGAGGAGUUGCUGUAAGUCAGGCAACCAUUAGUGAGGGGGAGCCAGGGUCCACUCGAGUUUUGGGAAUGCCACAUCACCUCGUCUCCUCUUCAGCCAGGCAGACCCUGCCAGGAGGGCGAGGGCAAAGCGUGCGGCCCGAGGAGCCCGGCGUUCUUAGGAGAAUGGCGAGUAGCAGAAUUGCUGGUUUGUGGCUGCUGAGCAGCUAAGAUCAUGCAGUGAUGUUUGCUGUUCUUGAUUGUAGCUGAGCAAGGGACCACAGCCUGCUGACCAUAAGACAUUCCCAGCUGUCGAGGCAGCCUCCAUUUGCACAGGAUGUGGAUUCUCAUCCCCGGAUGCCUGAGAGAUAAGUCGAGGGCUAAGGCCCACAGAGGGGACAAAGGCAACGUGCUGGGAGGGCCUAUUGAAUCAGCUCUGGGGGCGGGCAUGUGCAAGAAGGGUCCCCUUAGGCCACCUAAAGGGAAAAUGUCUAUUUUGAUCUCGGUGCUGAAGCGUGCAGGGCAGACCAGUUCCAGUGCGUGUCCUGUCACUUGUCUCUGGUGCACUCUGUGUUGUUUGGGUCUCUCAGUCCUUGCACACAUUCUUCUCAUUGAAAGCUCUCUCUCCCUGUCCUGUCCCCUCGUUUGUCACGUCCUGUCCUGUGUCACCGGUGUCUGCACUCAUUUGUCCAGGAGCUGCUCUGCCCUGCUGCAUAGCCUGUAAUAGCAAAAGCCCCGGGACUUGAAAUUUGUAAUGCAGGGUGUAGUUGGGAUCUAGAUUCUAUUGGGAGAUUGACAUAACAUUUUUGGUGCUGUUAAGUUGUCCUGCAGCUGUUUGACACUAGUUCUAACUUCGUUUCAGAUGCAGACAGUUCAAAUCUGUGGUAGAGAGCGCCAGUCCUGGGUAAAGGUGUUGGCAUAAGCAGGUCAGUCAUUGUUUGCAUUUGCAGGAGAAGCCUAAAUCGUGACUGUGUUACAGCAGUGUUCUUUGCCUUUAUUUUUAGGAGGUCCAGGCAGAUAGCAGCAGUCAAGGCCCAUUGUGCUAGGGAAUCCCUUCGGAGUACGCAUAGCACCUGUCACCAGCUGGCCAAUGGACUGGGUUUCCUGUGCUUUAUGAGACCUCUGGAAGUAUAGCGGGACUCUGUGAUGAAGCCUAAAAAUUUUGUAUUUCAGGGUCCCAACCUGGUAGCCCAGAGGAGUGGACAAGGAAUUGCGGUGAUGCUGUCGGCCUCCAAGCACGCCUGAAGUGUGUGGCCUGGGCACUCUGAGGAGGAUGGCAGACCAAGAGGUGACAGCUGGAACUUAGCAGGCAGGAAGACGGCCUUCUUCUGCAGCCAACAGGGAUUUACAUCCCCAGAUAUGUGCAAGAUAAGUGGAGUGUUACGACCUACAGAGUGGAUGGAAGCACGGUGCUGGCUUGGGCCUUUCUAGAAGGGUUUUUUUUGUCUGUUUUGGGGAUGGGGAUGUCCAAGAAGCAUUUCCCUAGUCCUCCUAAAGGGAAAAUGUCUGUUUUGGUCUCAGUGCUGAGGUUCACAGGGCAGAGCAGUUCCGGUGUGUGUCCUGUCACUUGUCUCUGGUGCACUCUGUGUUGUUUGGGUCUCUCGGUCCUUUCUUCUCCUCGAGAGCUCUCCCUCCCUGUCACGUCCCCUCGUUUGUCACGUCCCGUCCUGUGUCACGGGUGUCUGCACAUAUUUGUCCCGGCCAUGCUCUGCCCUGCUGCAUAGCCUGGCCAGUCCAUAAGGUGAUGUUCGUCACUAAGGUUUGGCCACAGACCAUCCCCAGGCCAGGGUUUUUUUCAAGGAGGAUUUUUUGGAAGCUCCCGGGAGCCACGUUCCUGAGGAACAAUGAUUUCUGGGGUGUAACGGAGCAGUUGAGAUGAGAGCGAUGGUGAGUUUGUGUGUAACAUGAAGGAGGUGCUCAUGCUAGAUGAGUGUUGUUUUGUGUGUGUAAUCUUUCUUUUGUGUUUCCUCUAACAAUAAAACAAAAUGUAAUUAAACUAGAAAAAAGGAUCAUAUUGUGUUGAUAUGUGUUUGGUUUCCAUUGCCCUGUGUUGUUCUGUAUUUGCAUUUGCUGCUGCAUUUCCAUGUAUUGCUUUGUAUCUAUGCAUGUCUAUGGAUUGUAUCUGUACUUGCAUUUGUAUCUGUUGUUUCCAUGUGUUUUGCUGAAGUGUAAAUAAAAAAAUUCAUUCAGUGAAGUUGAAUCAACCCUAGUAAUGAUGCCCCUGCUCCCUCACCUUCCAGCUUUGGCUCCUGUCUUUCUUUGGUGUGGUUUAGUAAUUUUUUUUCACUGUAUUUCUUCCUUUGCUUCUCAUCUUACUUUUCUAUUUCUGACUUCAUUUCUGUCUGUCCCUAACUCUGUGUUUCUAUUUCUCACUGUUUCUAACUCUGUCUCUCUGCUUCUCUAUUUCCCGCUAUUUCUUUUUUUUCUUUCUUUCUCUGUUUCCAACUAUUUCUUUUUCUCUCUAUAGUUUAUACUUUACUCUUUCUUUUUCUCUCUAGCUUUAACUCUUUUUUCCUCUUUUUUCCUCUCACUUUCUUUUUCACUCUAACCCUGCUAAUUUUUCACUCUUUUUGUUUUCACUGUUUGCCACUGUUUUCAUAGUUCUUUUUUUUCUGUCUCUCUUUUUCUCUCCAACUUCAACUUUCUUUAACCCUUUGUUUCUCUCUAUUUCUACCUUUAUUUCUAACUCUGCUUUCCUUUCUAGCUUUAAAAAAGAACAGCAGUAAAAACUUUCAGGCUCCCUGGGAGUAAAAAAAAAAAAAAAAAACACCAAAAAAAACCAACCCAACCUUUAAAUAAUUAUUUAAAGAAAAUUAUUUAAUCCCUGGGAGCCUGAAAUUUUCUACUUCUGCACCAGACAUCCAGUUUUUCUUCUUUUUCCUAAUAGAUAUAGGGCUCCUAAUUAGCGCUCCAGCUGGCAGGUAGCAGUAGCAAUAUGCAGAAACCAGUAUUCCCAUCAAGCCCACCAGAUGAAUAAUGAUACGACCAAGAGUUCAUCAUGUUGAAACAUAAAUUUUAAGGGAUUUAGAGAUUUUAGAGCAGCCAAGAUUUUAGUUAAAGACAAGCCUUACUAGAGUUAAUUAAAAUAAAUUAGUAGGCCUUGAUAAAGUUAAGAGUGAGUAGUUAACUAGUAAUUGAUUGCCUGUCAGCACAAUGUUUAGUUAGCUGGGUUAAUAAUGAAGAAUAUAGAAACUGAUAAAUAGCUUUUAAGAACAUAAGACAAUUGUGGGCCUCCUCUGUUCUGAAAUCAAAUGAAGACAAGGAAUGGAAGUUCUACCAAGAGUUCAUUUGUCAUAUUUGCAUUGAAACGGUAGAAAGGCCAGAACAAGGAAGACUUCAUUUAAUUCCACAUUUUGGGACUCAUCCCCAUGAAAGGGACCACUGACCCAUUUCAGGGAACAAACUUCAUGCUUAAUAGCUUUUGAAAUGAUUAGCAUAUGAAGCAAGGAAUGGGAUGUACCAAAAUGAAUAGGUAUUUGUAAAUUCGGUAUUCAGUACUUGUAUGGACAAAACGGCUCUUUAAUCACUUGGAAAGUGCGGUGUGUAUUUGGGAACUAUCCCACACGCUGCUGGGUGUCGAAUAAACAUACACUUUCUAACUUC